GGCUGAGUAACACGUGGGCAACCUGCCCCCUCCACCGGGACAGCCUCGGGAAACCGUGGGUAAUACCGGAUACUCCGGGACGGCCGCAUGGCCGGCCCGGGAAAGCCCAGACGGGAGGGGAUGGGCCCGCGGCCUGUUAGCUAGUCGGCGGGGUAACGGCCCACCGAGGCGAUUAUGGGUAGCCGGGUUGAGAGACCGACCGGCCAGAUUGGGACUGAGACACGGCCCAGACUCCUACGGGAGGCAGCAGUGGGGAAUCUUGCGCAAUGGGCGGAAGCCUGACGCAGCGACGCCGCGUGCGGGACGAAGGCCUUCGGGUCGUAAACCGCUUUCAGCAGGGACGAGGCCCUCACGGUGACGGUACCUGCAGAAGAAGCCCCGGCUAACUACGUGCCAGCAGCCGCGGUAAUACGUAGGGGGCGAGCGUUAUCCGGAUUCAUUGGGCGUAAAGCGCGCGUAGGCGGCCUGUUAGGUCGGGGGUCAAAUACCGGGGCUCAACCCCGGUCCGCCCCCGAUACCGGCAGGCUUGAGUCUGGUAGGGGAAGGCGGAAUUCCCAGUGUAGCGGUGGAAUGCGCAGAUAUUGGGAAGAACACCGGCGGCGAAGGCGGCCUUCUGGGCCACGACUGACGCUGAGGCGCGAAAGCUAGGGGAGCGAACAGGAUUAGAUACCCUGGUAGUCCUAGCCGUAAACGAUGGACGCUAGGUGUGGGGG
rnacentral:rRNA from 1 species